CGCAAGCAAACCGACUCGAGGAAGAAGUUGUGGUCCGAGCCUAACAGCGCAUGCUUUCGUUCUCUCCGUGCCUGCCCGGCUCCUGUUCCACCGUUCCUCUGCCUCAGCGCCAUCCUUUCCAGUUUCAUCAUGACUGAGAUGAAUGAAGUUUCGCAGAUGGGCGAAGCUUCAGAGAUGAGCGUAGAAGAAUCAUCGCUGCAAGCGACAGGGGACGGCAAGGAGGAUCAAGGGAAAGG